GAUGAACGCUGGCGGCGUGCCUAAUACAUGCAAGUCGAGCGAACAGACGGGGAGCUUGCUCCUCUGACGUUAGCGGCGGACGGGUGAGUAACACGUGGAUAACCUACCUAUAAGACUGGGAUAACUUCGGGAAACCGGAGCUAAUACCGGAUAAUAUAUUGAACCGCAUGGUUCAAUAGUGAAAGACGGUUUUGCUGUCACUUAUAGAUGGAUCCGCGCCGCAUUAGCUAGUUGGUAAGGUAACGGCUUACCAAGGCAACGAUGCGUAGCCGACCUGAGAGGGUGAUCGGCCACACUGGAACUGAGACACGGUCCAGACUCCUACGGGAGGCAGCAGUAGGGAACCUUCCGCAAUGGGCGAAAGCUUGACGGAGCAACGCCGCGUGAGUGAUGAAGGUCUUCGGAUCGUAAAACUCUGUUAUUAGGGAAGAACAAAUGUGUAAGUAACUAUGCACGUCUUGACGGUACCUAAUCAGAAAGCCACGGCUAACUACGUG
rnacentral:rRNA from 1 species